rnacentral:rRNA from 1 species
CUACAGGCUUAACACAUGCAAGUCGAGGGGCAGCAUUUUAGUUUGCUUGCAAACUGAAGAUGGCGACCGGCGCACGGGUGAGUAACACGUAUCCAACCUACCGAUAACUCCGGAAUAGCCUUUCGAAAGAAAGAUUAAUACCGGAUAGCAUACGAAUAUCGCAUGAUAUUUUUAUUAAAGAAUUUCGGUUAUCGAUGGGGAUGCGUUCCAUUAGUUUGUUGGCGGGGUAACGGCCCACCAAGACUACGAUGGAUAGGGGUUCUGAGAGGAAGGUCCCCCACAUUGGAACUGAGACACGGUCCAAACUCCUACGGGAGGCAGCAGUGAGGAAUAUUGGUCAAUGGGCGAGAGCCUGAACCAGCCAAGUAGCGUGAAGGAUGAAGGCUCUAUGGGUCGUAAACUUCUUUUAUAUGGGAAUAAAGUUUUCCACGUGUGGAAUUUUGUAUGUACCAUAUGAAUAAGGAUCGGCUAACUCCGUGCCAGCAGCCGCGGUAAUACGGAGGAUCCGAGCGUUAUCCGGAUUUAUUGGGUUUAAAGGGAGCGUAGGUGGAUUGUUAAGUCAGUUGUGAAAGUUUGCGGCUCAACCGUAAAAUUGCAGUUGAAACUGGCAGUCUUGAGUACAGUAGAGGUGGGCGGAAUUCGUGGUGUAGCGGUGAAAUGCUUAGAUAUCACGAAGAACUCCGAUUGCGAAGGCAGCUCACUAGACUGUCACUGACACUGAUGCUCGAAAGUGUGGGUAUCAAACAGGAUUAGAUACCCUGGUAGUCCACACAGUAAACGAUGAAUACUCGCUGUUUGCGAUAUACAGUAAGCGGCCAAGCGAAAGCAUUAAGUAUUCCACCUGGGGAGUACGCCGGCAACGGUGAAACUCAAAGGAAUUGACGGGGGCCCGCACAAGCGGAGGAACAUGUGGUUUAAUUCGAUGAUACGCGAGGAACCUUACCCGGGCUUAAAUUGCAACAGAAUAUAUUGGAAACAGUAUAGCCGUAAGGCUGUUGUGAAGGUGCUGCAUGGUUGUCGUCAGCUCGUGCCGUGAGGUGUCGGCUUAAGUGCCAUAACGAGCGCAACCCUUAUCUUUAGUUACUAACAGGUUAUGCUGAGGACUCUAGAGAGACUGCCGUCGUAAGAUGUGAGGAAGGUGGGGAUGACGUCAAAUCAGCACGGCCCUUACGUCCGGGGCUACACACGUGUUACAAUGGGGGGUACAGAAGGCGGCUACCUGGUGACAGGAUGCUAAUCCCAAAAACCUCUCUCAGUUCGGAUCGAAGUCUGCAACCCGACUUCGUGAAGCUGGAUUCGCUAGUAAUCGCGCAUCAGCCAUGGCGCGGUGAAUACGUUCCCGGGCCUUGUACACACCGCCCGUCAAGCCAUGAAAGCCGGGGGUACCUGAAGUACGUAACCGCAAGGAGCGUCCUAGGGUAAAACUGGUAAUUGGGGCUAAGUCAU